rnacentral:lncRNA from 1 species
UCUAGAGCCGCUCAGCAGACAGAGCUAAGAAGGACAUGUGUAUGUGUACAUAAAUAACAGAAAUACAUAUCUAUGUUUUAUUUGGAAAUAUGUAUUUACUAUAAAUAUAUAUUUUGUGUGUGUGUAUAUAUAGCAUAUGACUAGAAUGAUACAAGUAAAUGGAUUUGUAACUAUUGCUGUGUUAGUACAUAUAUUAAAAAAAUAUGGGGAGUUUCCAUCAGUGGUUAGCAAAUCUGACCAGGAACCAUGAGGUUUCGGGUUCAAUCCCUGGCCUCGCUCAGUGGGUUUUGGAUCCGGUGUUUCUUUGAGCUGUGGUGUAGUUUGCAGAUGAGGCUCAGAUCCCAUGUUUCUGUGGCUCUGGCAUAGGCCAGCCAGUGGCUACAGCUCUGAUUCGACCCUUAACCUGGGAACCUCCAUAUGCCGUGGGAGUGGCCCAAGAAAUGGCAAAAAGACAAAAAAUAAAUAAGUAAAUAAAUAAAUAAAUAAAAAUCAUGAGCUCAUGACGUCAUACUAUUUCCAAUUCUGAUCUAAUACUUGAGUUUUUUUUAGUCUUCAUCCUUUCCAUGUUUGUCUUUUCUUUUUUUUUUUUUCCCUUUUUUGGGCCACACCCACAGCGUAUGGAAGUUCCCAGGCUAGGGGUCGAAGUGUGGCUGCAGCUGCUAGCCAACAUGACAGCACCAGCAAGUCCAGAUCCGAGCUAUGUCUGCGACCUACACCACAGCUCGUCGCAGUGCUGAAUACUUAACCCACUGGUCAGGGCAAGGGAUUGGAUCUGCAUCCUCAGGUUCGUUACCGCUGAGCCUUGGUAGGCACUCCCUCCAAGUUUUUAAAUUUUCAGAUAGUGAGAAACUUGGCUCCCAGUAUGGCAAUAUGUUUACUUACUUGCUUAGUCAAAUAACAUGAUCCUUCAGUGUAAUCAAUCUCUAAUCACUCUGGCCAUUCCCUCUGCCUGCCACCUCUGGGAUAACCCCCUGUUUCCAUUUCUUAAAAGCUGCCACAUGGAGUUCCUGCUGUGACACUGCGGGUUAAGAAUCUUGACUGCAGUGGCUCGGGUUGCUGUGAAGGCAGGGGUUUGAUCCUUUGUAGGUUAAGGGGUCUGGCAUUGCUGCAGCUGUGGCUCAGAUUCAAUCCCUGACCAGGGAACCUCACAUGUCAGGGCUGCGACCAUAAAAAAAAAAAAAAAA